CACGUAGGCACCAAGCGUUGUCCGGAUUUAUUGGGCGUAAAGAGCUCGUAGGCGGUUCAGUAAGUCGGGUGUGAAAACUUUGGGCUUAACCCAAAGCGUGCAUCCGAUACUGCUGUGACUUGAGUUCGGUAGGGGAGUGGGGAAUUCCUAGUGUAGCGGUGAAAUGCGCAGAUAUUAGGAGGAACACCGGUGGCGAAGGCGCCACUCUGGGCCGAAACUGAACGCUGAGGAGCGGAAAAGCAUGGGUAGCAAACAGGGAUUAAGAAAACC
rnacentral:rRNA from 1 species